UACGAAGGGUGCAAGCGUUACUCGGAAUUACUGGGCGUAAACCGUGCGUAGGUGGUCGUUUAAGUCCGCUGUGAAAGUCCAGGGCUCAACCCUGGAAUGCCGGUGGAAACUGUCGAGCUAGAGUCCGGAAGAGGCGAGUGGAAUUCCUGGUGUAGCGGUGAAAUGCGCAGAUAUCAGGAGGAACACCAAUGGCGAAGGCGGCUCACUGGCUCAUUACUGACGCUCAUGCGCGACAGCGUGGGGAUCAAACAGG
rnacentral:rRNA from 1 species